CCUACGGGUGGCAGCAGUGGGGAAUAUUGGGCAAUGGAGGAAACUCUGACCCAGCAACGCCGCGUGAAUGAUGAAGGUCUUCGGAUUGUAAAGUUCUUUUCUAAGGGAAGUAGAAAGUGACGGUACCUUAGGAAUAAGCCUCGGCUAACUACGUGCCAGCAGCCGCGGUAAUACGUAGGAGGCAAGCGUUAUCCGGAAUGACUGGGCGUAAAGGGUGCGUAGGUGGGUUGAUAAGUUAGUAGCGUAACUCCGAGGCUCAACCGCGGCACUACUACCAAAACUGUCGGACUUGAGUGCAGAAGAGGAGAGUGGAACUCCAGGUGUAGCGGUGAAAUGCGUAGAUAUAUGGAAGAACACCAGUGGCGAAGGCGGCUCUCUAAUCUGUAACUGACGCUGAGGUUCGAAAGCGUGGGUAGCAAACAGGAUUAGAUACCCCAGUAGUC
rnacentral:rRNA from 1 species